GUAGUGACCCGGAUUUUUAAAAUCUACUUUUUAUUAUAAAAGUGAUUUUCUUCAAGGAAGGGAAUAAAAUUUAAUAUUUUAUUCCUAUUUAAUUAAUUUUCAAAAUUUGUAUUUAAACUCUGGGUUAUUGUGCUAUUGGUAUAUAAUUGUUUCUUCAAAUGCUGUGAUUAUAUUCUCGAGAGUCGGUGUAUUUUAUUUCUAUUGGAUUGCUGAGUCGUGUUAUCAAUUUUUAUUUAAUAUGGAUUUUAUACUGUUUAAAUUCUAUAAAAAUUGUGUAUCGCUUACAAAAUCAUUUUUAUCGCUUUAUAAUUUCAUUAAAUAUUUUUAGAGAUUUAUAAAAUUCAUAAAAUGACAUUUCGUUAAUUAUUCAGCUCUAAAUAAUUUUCUGUGUAGUUUCAAUUGGGGUGUUUCUGUUAAUUUCAAAAAUGAUCCAAAAAUCAUGAAAAUCAUAUUUUAUUAGUUUUUAAUUAUUCUGAGAUUUUUAAAAUUAUUUUGGUAUUUAUCUGAAUCAUUUUAUCUGUGAGUUUGUUCGUUAAAUUGUCAAAAUCAGUUCGGAGCCAGCCAGAUCAGAGGACGCGUGUCAUUUGUUUUAGAUACGUGGCAGCCUCUCCAGUUUAAUCAGUUCAACUCCUUUUCUUUUCUCACCAAAAAUAUCAGUCUCUCACAUCUCUCUUUCUCGCAAUCUCUCUGCUCUCUCUCGCUCAAAUCUCUCUCCUCUCAAACCCCUCUCUCUCGUUAAACUCUUUCUCACCAAUCUCUCAUCCCUCCCAAAUCUCCCGAAUCUCUCUCUCACUCUCACAAUCUCUCUCUCUCUCUGUUUUACUCUCCCGCGCCGCUCCUUUUCCGGCCACCGCCCACCAUUCCGCCGCCGUCCACCGCAGCUCCUCUUCUCCGAUUUCCUCCAUCCCUCUCCCCUGCUCUCUUCUCUUUAUGGUUUGUUGUCUUCUUGUUUAUGGCUACUGGGUGUGUAGCUAUGUGCGUGUAUUCGUGUAUAUUUGUGUGUGCGCGAUUGUGGCAGUGUGAUUCUGGUGUCUGUGUGUAAAAUCAGUGUGUAUGUGUGUGCUCAGUACGCGUGCGUGUGUGCAGGUGGGUGUGUGAUGUGUGUGUUCAGUGUGUGUACUCUGUGUGUGGGUGUGAACUGAAGAGUGUGUGCUGUGUGUAUAUGUAUUGUAUUGUCUGGGGCCGAGUUGGGCGUUAAUUGGUUAGACAUGAAUGUGUAAAAUUGUGUGCGGCUCGAGUCAUAAAACUGAUUUCUGAUACGUUUUAUGUAUUAUUUCGGUUGCUGGCUCGUUGGAUGGAUUAUCGAGUUUAGUUAAAAUUUAGUUAGUAGUUAUAAAUUAAUUAUUUAGAUUGUUCGAAGACUUAUUACAGGUUGUUGGGACUUGUUGUGUCGAUAUGAUAUCGACUGGUAGUCCGAUAAAUAGAGGAGGUGCUGCCCAUUUUUAAAUAAAAUUUAGAUCUUAAAAUUAUACGGGGGUGUAUCCUAUAAUUAUCGGAGUACUAAUCAAAUUUACAUAGUUACUGAUUUGUGAUAUUUCUAUAAAAUCUAUAAAUAAUAUUUAUGUGAUUUGGUAGUAAUAGCAGUACUGCAUAGCAUUAUUGUUGCUGUUAAUGUGUGAAACUGUGUUUACUUGGUAAAUUUUAGGAUGUCGAAUAUUAAUAAAUAUUAGUAUUAUUCUUUAUUAUUAUUAUUACUUGCACUAGUAGUAAUAAUAGUAAAUAAUAAUAUUAAUAAUAUAAAUAUGCGAUAUCUUAAAUAUUUAUAAUGCCAUGCUUAUUUAAUUCAACUUGUAUAUAUUUGAUUUGAAUAGUAUCUAAAUUGAGUAUUAUGGCAAGUGGUAAGUAAAUGUAUGGAAAUAUGUGAUACCUGCUAAGUGCUACGUGUUAAAUGUUAGAGUGUUAUUCUUGAUAGUAUAAUGUAUUAAUAUUGAAUUACUUUCCGUUUUAAAGAUAAGCUAUUAGUUUCUUUCAAUCAUUAUGUGUUUAGGUGCCGCAUGUCUGGGCGGAUUAUUUAUCAUUAUGUGUUAGGUGCCGCAUGUUGGGGCGGGUACUUUUCUUAUGUGAUUUACUGCAUGUCGAGGCAGAUUUUCUUUAUAUUAGUAUUUUAAUUAGUUUAAAGAGCUUGAUUUGAUUGAUUUGAAAACAGGGGGAUAGUCCUAUUUACGAAUAGGUCAUGCCGAAUUUUCUGUAGAAAUAUUAACUUAAAACGCGUUCUCGUGUUGAAUAAUAUUCAGAGAUGGUUGUAAGUUAUAAAACUAUAAAGUGUGCUACUUGUUAUGUGCUAUAUAAUGUGCCAUGUAUAUAUUUGUGUAUAUAUAUAUCACGAAAGGGUAGAAAUAGGAUAGUCGUUUCGGAAGGAUACUAAAGUAGUAUCUGUUUGCUUAUAAUAGGAUCGAGCAUUGAGGGCGUGAUACCAAGCAAGGGCAGAAAAUGGGAGAGUUGUAUAGCGGUUCAGUAGUUACGGAUUGUUCGAGACGAUAGAAUCAGACGUUGGGGAUCAAGACUGAAGUUAGAUAAGAUUUUGUAUCAGGCUGCAGCAAUCGCAUGAGCGCCAUAGCAGAGAAUCAGGAAUAGUUGAGGGGGAUGUCUUGAGAAAGCAGAAUAAGAUAAGGAUAUUAGCUGAGAGUGUAUAAGCUAAGGAUCAAAGGCAAGUAUUCUCAUUUCUCUCUUAUAUAUUUGAAAGUGCAAGUAUUCCUACCUUUCUCUUAUAUUUGAAUGAUCAAGUAUACUCCGGUUUUAUUCAAAAGAAAAUUGUCCAUAUUCAUAUUUCAAAAUUUCUGCGAGUACUUCUGAUUAUAUCUCUUGUGGUUCAGAUAUUAUAUGAAUAAAGUAGAGCAAGAAUGCAUGUCUUAUAUCAAAUGUUUUACGUUACGUAUUCCCCGGUUGCUAUGGAUUUCAUUUAUCUUUUGAAAUGGUUUUAGGGGAAUAGUGACUUGUGAUUAUCUAUCCCGAAUGAGAUUCAAAUUCUGAAAUUAUUUAGUAAUUAUCAUUACUAAAUUUGAGAUGAAAUUCUGAGAUUCAAAUUCUAGAGACAUGGUAUUGAUUCACGAAUAUCAUGUAGUGAUUUUAAAAAGGGGAUAGAUAAUAAAGGUGAUUCAAACUGAAAACUGGAAAUGGAUCAGAUAUCUCUAUUUGGAGCUGCGUAAGAGGUUCCGUUAUUUGAUAACGACCCAGCAUGAGGUUGCGUAAGAGGCUAAGUCGGGUAGUGCACAUUGUUAAACCCCUUAGUCCAGCGUGCUAAAGACCUAGCUAGUCUUUAGGUUCCGGAACAUUUAUUCGUGAUGGCCUUGUCGCCGUCCGGUGUUGAUAGACUGAUCAGCUAUCUUCACCUGUUAGCGUCCGAAUAUAUCUGAUAAUUCGUUUUGAGAUUCAAUUCUCCUAUAGAAUGCCAGAGAAAAAUCCUGAGUUUAAAAAUGAUAUGAUCUCUUAUGUUUUAAAAGCAUGCUAGUUAAAGGUGAUUUCCAGUUUUAUAUCAAACGAUGAUUUAAGGCUUUAUACUCAAAGCAUACACGGUUUUAAUAUCAAAUAGUGGUUUACUGCUUUACAUUCAAAGCAUACAUGGUUUUUAUAUCAAAUGAUGGUUUACUGCUUUAUAUUCAAAGCAUGCAUGAUUUCUAUACUCUUCCUCUUAUAAACUGUUUUUCAAUUAUAUCUCUUGUUUAUUCAAAUCGGUACUGCUGAGCGAUUCAUAGCUCACCUUUCAAAUUAUCUUUAUACAAGUUGUUUUACUACUAUAACUUGCUGAGCAUUUUUGGCUCAUUCUUGCUUUUCAAUUCUAAACCUUUCAGCUAAGGCUAGAGAUGGAUUAUCUGAGAGUGAUGCUAAGCGGCAAGGAUUCUAAGAGGUCAAGUACAUUAGAGAUCAGGUUGGUUGUUUUCUGAUUUCAAUGCUGUAACCUGGAUGCGAUCCUGUUUUUAGGGGGUUAAAGUGUUCCUUUUAAACUUUUUAUUAAUGCCUUCAGGUUUUAAAUUAUUUGGUUUUCCGAAAUACAGUUUUUCAAAAGUGUUUUAGAAGGGUUUUUGUUGGUGACGUCAGAAUCCGUUUUCGAAAGUGUUUUAAAAAGGUUUUUCUUGGUUUUAACUUGUAUUUUCAUUUACACGUGGCACCAGAUCCAGACCCCCGGAUCUGAGGGCUGUCACAGUUGGUAUCAGAGCUACAGGUUACAAAGUAUUGAAAUUAGAAUGUAGAUAGUGAUUAGAGAUGUUUUGAGUGGAACCUCAUAUAGAGGUGAUGCAAGACUAUUGGUUAUAAUCUUUGUCAAUAGAACUGAUAUUGAGUUGGAGUAUUGAUUCAGAACAAUCAUUUUGGGUUAAAUUCUAGUUCUAUUUCUAGAACUAGUGAGUUGGAUGUCAAGAGAAACGUGAUGGGACACUUUUAGUUUCCAACCUAUUAAAUCUUGAGAUUAAUUCUGAUUAACCAUUACCAGCUAGACUUGUGGAGAAACCUGUCUAGUCUAGAAUAUUCCUUAUUGUCUUUACCACUUUUAGAGAAUUUGGUAAGGGGUCAUCUAUUUGUUUAGAAAUAUUCACAUAAAAUGAGUAUGAGAUUUGUUGGGUUGGAGUGAGAAUCCAUAGUUUUCAGUUUAAGAGCUUAUAUAUGUAUUUUGUGUUAGACUACUCGAUACAGUACUAUGAGAAGGCUAGAACGUCAACGCUCUACGGUGCUGAGUGUAUAAAGUGGAAGAUGGCUUCUGAAAGUGCCAAGCUGGAUAGGACUUUUUACUAAAGUAGAUGGAGGUAAAGGAAUCUUUAGAGUCGAUUACGAAUCGGCAAGAAUAUUAGAAUAUCGAGAAGGAUUGUUAGAAUAGAAACGAGCUAGAGGAAUCAGUGAAGAAGACAUCUGUGAGAAUUUCGGCAAUACCUUCUCAAAUUUUUGAUUAUAUUGAAUAUUUUCCCAUUCACUGAAUUGUUUAACAUCACUUUUAUAGCGAUGUUCCUUAAAGAAUAUAUUUCUCUUUAACGGUAUAGUGUCUCUCUUGAAAAUAUAGCAUGAUGCAAAUAUUUCCUGUAUCACUUCUGAUCAUUCUUUUUGUUGAAAUUAACACCUUUGGAAUCUAUUCGAUUUUGACAUCUUUUCAUAAAUUCAUCAAAAGCCGAUCAUUAUUAGCUGAUUUCCAAUUUCUCUCAUAUUUUCUAUUCCCACUGAGAUGAACAACCCUACCUGUAGGGGACACAAGGACUAUCUGUCUAUGUGAUAGAGGUUUGAUGGGACGCCAUCACUUGUGUGUGUUGUACAUUACAAGAAGGUUAACUACCUUUAGUGGUGUCUAAUAGAGGCACGCAACACCAAGUUCAGUGGAUCAUAUUGAUCUCUCAGUCAUUCUUUUAUUCAAAUAAAACUUACCUUGAAAACAUCUUGUUUCAUAAUCAAAUUCUCAAAGGUUGAUUCUGAGAAGUGAAGUCUGCAAUUGUGAAAGUUUUGACUCUCCCUUUUUCUCUAAAGUUGAAGCUAUGCCAAGGAUUAAUCAAUAGUGAAUGACGAUACGGUAUUGCGUCGCGGAUUCUGAGGACAGAAUCUUUAUAAGGAGGGUAGAAUGUAAUACCCUAGAUUUUAAACUUAGAUUAUGAUUACUACAGACUUGAUUUGUCUAGAUAUUAACGUGGCAUUUAAUUGAUCAAUGUGUGGUUUCUGAUAUGGUAGAUGGUCUAUAUGUGAGUAUAUUUGUUCUGUGGAUUAUAUUAUGUGNUAUUACAAAACUUACCUUUAUUACUCUCCUUGAUUGAUUCUUACUUCCAAAUUUUAUCUUUUUUUCCUUUUCAGGUCGAUACUUCCGAGGACGGAAUCCCUAUAAGGAGGGUAGAUUGUAGUGACCCGGAUUUUUAAAAUCUACUUUUUAUUAUAAAAGUGAUUUUCUUCAAGGAAGGGAAUAAAAUUUAAUAUUUUAUUCCUAUUUAAUUAAUUUUCAAAAUUUGUAUUUAAACUCUGGGUUAUUGUGCUAUUGGUAUAUAAUUGUUUCUUCAAAUGCUGUGAUUAUAUUCUCGAGAGUCGGUGUAUUUUAUUUCUAUUGGAUUGCUGAGUCGUGUUAUCAAUUUUUAUUUAAUAUGGAUUUUAUACUGUUUAAAUUCUAUAAAAAUUGUGUAUCGCUUACAAAAUCAUUUUUAUCGCUUUAUAAUUUCAUUAAAUAUUUUUAGAGAUUUAUAAAAUUCAUAAAAUGACAUUUCGUUAAUUAUUCAGCUCUAAAUAAUUUUCUGUGUAGUUUCAAUUGGGGUGUUUCUGUUAAUUUCAAAAAUGAUCCAAAAAUCAUGAAAAUCAUAUUUUAUUAGUUUUUAAUUAUUCUGAGAUUUUUAAAAUUAUUUUGGUAUUUAUCUGAAUCAUUUUAUCUGUGAGUUUGUUCGUUAAAUUGUCAAAAUCAGUUCGGAGCCAGCCAGAUCAGAGGACGCGUGUCAUUUGUUUUAGAUACGUGGCAGCCUCUCCAGUUUAAUCAGUUCAACUCCUUUUCUUUUCUCACCAAAAAUAUCAGUCUCUCACAUCUCUCUUUCUCGCAAUCUCUCUGCUCUCUCUCGCUCAAAUCUCUCUCCUCUCAAACCCCUCUCUCUCGUUAAACUCUUUCUCACCAAUCUCUCAUCCCUCCCAAAUCUCCCGAAUCUCUCUCUCACUCUCACAAUCUCUCUCUCUCUCUGUUUUACUCUCCCGCGCCGCUCCUUUUCCGGCCACCGCCCACCAUUCCGCCGCCGUCCACCGCAGCUCCUCUUCUCCGAUUUCCUCCAUCCCUCUCCCCUGCUCUCUUCUCUUUAUGGUUUGUUGUCUUCUUGUUUAUGGCUACUGGGUGUGUAGCUAUGUGCGUGUAUUCGUGUAUAUUUGUGUGUGCGCGAUUGUGGCAGUGUGAUUCUGGUGUCUGUGUGUAAAAUCAGUGUGUAUGUGUGUGCUCAGUACGCGUGCGUGUGUGCAGGUGGGUGUGUGAUGUGUGUGUUCAGUGUGUGUACUCUGUGUGUGGGUGUGAACUGAAGAGUGUGUGCUGUGUGUAUAUGUAUUGUAUUGUCUGGGGCCGAGUUGGGCGUUAAUUGGUUAGACAUGAAUGUGUAAAAUUGUGUGCGGCUCGAGUCAUAAAACUGAUUUCUGAUACGUUUUAUGUAUUAUUUCGGUUGCUGGCUCGUUGGAUGGAUUAUCGAGUUUAGUUAAAAUUUAGUUAGUAGUUAUAAAUUAAUUAUUUAGAUUGUUCGAAGACUUAUUACAGGUUGUUGGGACUUGUUGUGUCGAUAUGAUAUCGACUGGUAGUCCGAUAAAUAGAGGAGGUGCUGCCCAUUUUUAAAUAAAAUUUAGAUCUUAAAAUUAUACGGGGGUGUAUCCUAUAAUUAUCGGAGUACUAAUCAAAUUUACAUAGUUACUGAUUUGUGAUAUUUCUAUAAAAUCUAUAAAUAAUAUUUAUGUGAUUUGGUAGUAAUAGCAGUACUGCAUAGCAUUAUUGUUGCUGUUAAUGUGUGAAACUGUGUUUACUUGGUAAAUUUUAGGAUGUCGAAUAUUAAUAAAUAUUAGUAUUAUUCUUUAUUAUUAUUAUUACUUGCACUAGUAGUAAUAAUAGUAAAUAAUAAUAUUAAUAAUAUAAAUAUGCGAUAUCUUAAAUAUUUAUAAUGCCAUGCUUAUUUAAUUCAACUUGUAUAUAUUUGAUUUGAAUAGUAUCUAAAUUGAGUAUUAUGGCAAGUGGUAAGUAAAUGUAUGGAAAUAUGUGAUACCUGCUAAGUGCUACGUGUUAAAUGUUAGAGUGUUAUUCUUGAUAGUAUAAUGUAUUAAUAUUGAAUUACUUUCCGUUUUAAAGAUAAGCUAUUAGUUUCUUUCAAUCAUUAUGUGUUUAGGUGCCGCAUGUCUGGGCGGAUUAUUUAUCAUUAUGUGUUAGGUGCCGCAUGUUGGGGCGGGUACUUUUCUUAUGUGAUUUACUGCAUGUCGAGGCAGAUUUUCUUUAUAUUAGUAUUUUAAUUAGUUUAAAGAGCUUGAUUUGAUUGAUUUGAAAACAGGGGGAUAGUCCUAUUUACGAAUAGGUCAUGCCGAAUUUUCUGUAGAAAUAUUAACUUAAAACGCGUUCUCGUGUUGAAUAAUAUUCAGAGAUGGUUGUAAGUUAUAAAACUAUAAAGUGUGCUACUUGUUAUGUGCUAUAUAAUGUGCCAUGUAUAUAUUUGUGUAUAUAUAUAUCACGAAAGGGUAGAAAUAGGAUAGUCGUUUCGGAAGGAUACUAAAGUAGUAUCUGUUUGCUUAUAAUAGGAUCGAGCAUUGAGGGCGUGAUACCAAGCAAGGGCAGAAAAUGGGAGAGUUGUAUAGCGGUUCAGUAGUUACGGAUUGUUCGAGACGAUAGAAUCAGACGUUGGGGAUCAAGACUGAAGUUAGAUAAGAUUUUGUAUCAGGCUGCAGCAAUCGCAUGAGCGCCAUAGCAGAGAAUCAGGAAUAGUUGAGGGGGAUGUCUUGAGAAAGCAGAAUAAGAUAAGGAUAUUAGCUGAGAGUGUAUAAGCUAAGGAUCAAAGGCAAGUAUUCUCAUUUCUCUCUUAUAUAUUUGAAAGUGCAAGUAUUCCUACCUUUCUCUUAUAUUUGAAUGAUCAAGUAUACUCCGGUUUUAUUCAAAAGAAAAUUGUCCAUAUUCAUAUUUCAAAAUUUCUGCGAGUACUUCUGAUUAUAUCUCUUGUGGUUCAGAUAUUAUAUGAAUAAAGUAGAGCAAGAAUGCAUGUCUUAUAUCAAAUGUUUUACGUUACGUAUUCCCCGGUUGCUAUGGAUUUCAUUUAUCUUUUGAAAUGGUUUUAGGGGAAUAGUGACUUGUGAUUAUCUAUCCCGAAUGAGAUUCAAAUUCUGAAAUUAUUUAGUAAUUAUCAUUACUAAAUUUGAGAUGAAAUUCUGAGAUUCAAAUUCUAGAGACAUGGUAUUGAUUCACGAAUAUCAUGUAGUGAUUUUAAAAAGGGGAUAGAUAAUAAAGGUGAUUCAAACUGAAAACUGGAAAUGGAUCAGAUAUCUCUAUUUGGAGCUGCGUAAGAGGUUCCGUUAUUUGAUAACGACCCAGCAUGAGGUUGCGUAAGAGGCUAAGUCGGGUAGUGCACAUUGUUAAACCCCUUAGUCCAGCGUGCUAAAGACCUAGCUAGUCUUUAGGUUCCGGAACAUUUAUUCGUGAUGGCCUUGUCGCCGUCCGGUGUUGAUAGACUGAUCAGCUAUCUUCACCUGUUAGCGUCCGAAUAUAUCUGAUAAUUCGUUUUGAGAUUCAAUUCUCCUAUAGAAUGCCAGAGAAAAAUCCUGAGUUUAAAAAUGAUAUGAUCUCUUAUGUUUUAAAAGCAUGCUAGUUAAAGGUGAUUUCCAGUUUUAUAUCAAACGAUGAUUUAAGGCUUUAUACUCAAAGCAUACACGGUUUUAAUAUCAAAUAGUGGUUUACUGCUUUACAUUCAAAGCAUACAUGGUUUUUAUAUCAAAUGAUGGUUUACUGCUUUAUAUUCAAAGCAUGCAUGAUUUCUAUACUCUUCCUCUUAUAAACUGUUUUUCAAUUAUAUCUCUUGUUUAUUCAAAUCGGUACUGCUGAGCGAUUCAUAGCUCACCUUUCAAAUUAUCUUUAUACAAGUUGUUUUACUACUAUAACUUGCUGAGCAUUUUUGGCUCAUUCUUGCUUUUCAAUUCUAAACCUUUCAGCUAAGGCUAGAGAUGGAUUAUCUGAGAGUGAUGCUAAGCGGCAAGGAUUCUAAGAGGUCAAGUACAUUAGAGAUCAGGUUGGUUGUUUUCUGAUUUCAAUGCUGUAACCUGGAUGCGAUCCUGUUUUUAGGGGGUUAAAGUGUUCCUUUUAAACUUUUUAUUAAUGCCUUCAGGUUUUAAAUUAUUUGGUUUUCCGAAAUACAGUUUUUCAAAAGUGUUUUAGAAGGGUUUUUGUUGGUGACGUCAGAAUCCGUUUUCGAAAGUGUUUUAAAAAGGUUUUUCUUGGUUUUAACUUGUAUUUUCAUUUACACGUGGCACCAG
rnacentral:lncRNA from 1 species